GCGGGAAUGGCGAAACUGGUAGACGCACCAGACUUAGGAUCUGGCGCCGCAAGGUAUGGAGGUUCGAGUCCUCUUUCCCGCACCA
rnacentral:tRNA from 2 species